rnacentral:rRNA from 1 species
AGUGAACGCUGGCGGUAGGCCUAACACAUGCAAGUCGAACGGCAGCACAGAGGAGCUUGCUCCUUGGGUGGCGAGUGGCGGACGGGUGAGGAAUACAUCGGAAUCUACUUUUUCGUGGGGGAUAACGUAGGGAAACUUACGCUAAUACCGCAUACGACCUACGGGUGAAAGCAGGGGACCUUCGGGCCUUGCGCGAUUGAAUGAGCCGAGGUCGGAUUAGCGAGUUUGCGGGGUAAAGGCCCACCAAGGCGACGAUCCGUAGCUGGUCUGAGAGGAUGAUCAGCCACACUGGAACUGAGACACGGUCCAGACUCCUACGGGAGGCAGCAGUGGGGAAUAUUGGACAAUGGGCGCAAGCCUGAUCCAGCCAUACCGCGUGGGUGAAGAAGGCCUUCGGGUUGUAAAGCCCUUUUGUUGGGAAAGAAAUCCAGCCGGCUAAUACCUGGUUGGGAUGACGGUACCCAAAGAAUAAGCACCGGCUAACUUCGUGCCAGCAGCCGCCGCAG